UUACUCCUUAAAAUUUGCCAGGUCAUCUUUCUUUCUUAAUUAGACAGCCGUACAGUAAAGAACUGCUAGGCUCUAGUAAAAUAGAUUUCAUGCAAAUAGAGUUAAAACUACAGUUAUUAAAAUAUUAAAGUGUACGAAAAAGUUAAAAUUGUUCUUGAAACACGUGCAAACCUAAAUUUCUAAAGCUACAUUACAACAAAUUAAAAGCGUUGUGAUUUGCUAUCGAAAUCAACCCACGGACGUUCAGGAACAACACCAUUUCUCGCAUAAUUUUUCAAAUAGACCAAUCUAACAUUCGCAUCGAACUGAGAGAAUCAACUUUUAAAGUUUUCUCUCAAUAUUAUAAAUCCUGUUUGAGAACGAAACAGUAUUCAUUCAAGUGGAUACUGUUAAACGGUACCUUAAACUAAUGUUCAACGUUACUAUCUUGCAGAUUCUAAUUUUUUUUUAAGCAAAUGAAUUCUUAGCAAAAAUAAACUAUGCAACGUUUUGCUUCUUUCAGAGGUAAAUACGUCGUUUUCAUAAGUCAUAAUGUCAGGUAGCGCUUUACAUGCGUCUGAGCGUAACGGUAUGUAAUUAGCUGGUGUGUUAUUUACGUCAAAAUGUUGUGUCAUAUUGAAAAUCAUGAUGUCAUAUACGUCAUUGUAAUUACAUCGUUGAUUGAACGAUUAAACGUAAAUGUCGUUCAAAUUUUCGGAUGCAUGCAAGCCCCAUCAAGUGCCCGGAAUGUCCCUGGCGCGUGUGCUGCACACAGCAAGGAGCAUCGGCUGAAACAUUCGGAUAUUGUGACCAAUUCAUGCCGUCACUGUACUGAAAAGUUUAAAUACUGUGUAUGUUUCUCGAAGCACGGGCGGACGUACAGCAAGGAGAUGCAAACAACACGAGCCGAAGACGGCCACCAACUGAAGAAGGAAUCUACCGAUAAUGUUUAGUGAAAUUUGGAUUUAACACAAACAAGCUAUUUCAAGCUUCGGUUUUAUUGGUAUUUUGCCUAACGCUACUAAGUAAGGUUUUUUUUCUCAAUUAAUGCAACGUAUUUAAAGAUAGAACUGCUGUAUUGUGUGAAUACAA